rnacentral:lncRNA from 12 species
AUGCUGGGAAAGGGCACUCUGAAUUGGUGUCACCUAUCAUGGAUAAACCCCCAUAGUGAGCAAUCAGAGCACAAGUGUGAAAGCUGGGAUCCUUGGACUUCUGCAGUGGACUUAAUUUUCUUUUCCUCCUCUCUUUCAGGACAGGAAAAAUUAUUACACUCCUCCCACCUUUGCCAAAAGCUGUGGUGUUUGAGCAGCCAAAGCCAAGAGGCUUCAGCACCAGGGAUCUGCACUGGAGGGCUCCUGGUCCUGCCCAUGCUGUGGGUGAGAAGAACACAAACUCACAGCCAGUCAGGCCUGACAGUCCCCUGCAGCAAGAGCUCAGCACACAUCUACAGAGGCAAGUCCAGCACCUGAAAGAAAAAAAAAAUAGAAGAAAAAGGUAAUUUCUUUUGCUUCAAAAUUAUUUCCAGUUGUUAAAGCCCAAUCAGUUUUUGCUCUUGAUUUGGGUUGGGUGAGUCCCAGGCAGUGGGCACGGGUCAUGCCAUUGGUUCAGCUGAAACCCCAGGGUAGUUUAGAGGGGCCACAAGACGUGUUUGUGUGGCCAAUGCCAGGGGAUGUCGAGGGCAGCCAGGUGGCAUUUCUGAGGGCGCUGCUGAGGUUCCUGGAGGGAGCCCAGCAGACAGCUUCCCUGGGAAAGCCGAGGCCCCUGGGCAGCGCAGGCAGGGCUCUGCAGGGGCAGCAGGGAGGGCUGGCACUGGGGACUCUGUGUCCAGGGAGGGCUGGCACUGGGGGGGGGGGGGGGGGGGGGGGGGGG